GGCGCAAUAGCUCAGUUGGCAGAGCACGUGAUUGAAGCUCACGGUGUCGGCAGUUCGAUUCUGUCUUGCGCCA
rnacentral:tRNA from 1 species